AGCGAACGCUGGCGGCAGGCCUAACACAUGCGAGUCGAACGCCCCUUCGGGGGAGUGGCGGACGGGUGAGUAACGCGUGGGAAUGUGCCCUUUGGUACGGAACAACUGAGGGAAACUUCAGCUAAUACCGUAUGUGCCCUACGGGGGAAAGAUUUAUCGCCAUUGGAGCAGCCCGCGUUGGAUUAGGUAGUUGGUGGGGUAAUGGCCCACCAAGCCGACGAUCCAUAGCUGGUCUGAGAGGAUGAUCAGCCACACUGGGACUGAGACACGGCCCAGACUCCUACGGGAGGCAGCAGUGGGGAAUCUUGCGCAAUGGGCGAAAGCCUGACGCAGCCAUGCCGCGUGAAUGAUGAAGGUCUUAGGAUUGUAAAAUUCUUUCACCGGGGAAGAUAAUGACGGUACCCGGAGAAGAAGCCCCGGCUAACUUCGU
rnacentral:rRNA from 1 species